AUUGAACGCUGGCGGCAUGCUUUACACAUGCAAGUCGAACGGUAACAGGUCUUCGGAUGCUGACGAGUGGCGAACGGGUGAGUAAUGCAUCGGAACGUGCCCAGUCGUGGGGGAUAACGCAGCGAAAGCUGUGCUAAUACCGCAUACGAUCUAUGGAUGAAAGCGGGGGAUCGCAAGACCUCGCGCGAUUGGAGCGGCCGAUGUCAGAUUAGCUAGUUGGUGGGGUAAAGGCCCACCAAGGCGACGAUCUGUAGCUGGUCUGAGAGGACGACCAGCCACACUGGGACUGAGACACGGCCCAGACUCCUACGGGAGGCAGCAGUGGGGAAUUUUGGACAAUGGGCGCAAGCCUGAUCCAGCAAUGCCGCGUGCAGGAAGAAGGCCUUCGGGUUGUAACUGCUUUGUACGGAACGAAAAGGUCUGGGUUAAUACCCUGGGCCCGAUGACGGUACCGUAAGAAUAAGCACCGGCUAACUACGUGCCAG
rnacentral:rRNA from 1 species